rnacentral:rRNA from 1 species
GACGAACGCUGGCGGCGUGCUUAACACAUGCAAGUCGAGCGGUAAGGCCCUUCGGGUACACGAGCGGCGAACGGGUGAGUAACACGUGGGUGACCUGCCCUUAGCUCUGGGAUAAGCCUGGGAAACUGGGUCUAAUACCGGAUAUGACCUCAUGACGCAUGUUGUGGGGUGGAAAGCCUUGUGCGGCUAGGGAUGGGCCCGCGGCCUAUCAGCUUGUUGGUGGGGUGAUGGCCACCAAGGCGACGACGGGUAGCCGGCCUGAGAGGGCGACCGGCCACACUGGGACUGAGACACGGCCCAGACUCCUACGGGAGGCAGCAGUGGGGAAUCUUGCGCAAUGGGCGAAAGCCUGACGCAGCGACGCCGCGUGAGUGAUGAAGGCCU